AGGACGAACGCUGGCGGCGUGCUUAACACAUGCAAGUCGAGCGGAAAGGCCCUUCGGGGUACUCGAGCGGCGAACGGGUGAGUAACACGUGAGCAACCUGCCCUUAGCUUCGGGAUAGCUCCGGGAAACCGGAAUUAAAUACCGGAUAGUGACUAUGGCCGACAUCAGCCAUGGUGGAAAGUUUUUCGGCUAGGGAUGGACUCGCGGCCUAUCAGCUAGUUGGUGAGGUAACGGCUCACCAAGGCGACGACGGGGUA
rnacentral:rRNA from 1 species